rnacentral:lncRNA from 1 species
GCCUCAUGUUACUAAGGCAGCCCAUGGAAAACAAUUUUUGGUGAGCACAGUGAGCACACUGGAGCAGUGCCCAGAGACGCUGUGGAAUCGCCUUCCUUGGACAUCUUCAAAACUCAGCUGGACAAGCCCUGAGCAACCUGCUUUAACUUUGAAGUUAACUCUACUUCUAGCAGGCAGUAGGACCGGAUAAACUCCAGCCAAUAUCAUGCUGAAAACUUCAGAGACAGGAAUGAGACUCAGAAUCCCAGUGCUUUGUUUGGUCUCUGCUGCUUCAUGCAAGUUACAGGUGUAGGAACUAGCUCCCCCUACCAAGGUUGAAAAGAGGAGGAAAGGCGUGUGCGCAGGUUGGGAAGACAUGCACUGCAGGAACUGGGAAUCCUACUACCUGCAUAUGGGUGCAUCCAGCCCCAGGGCAUCCCAGAGCUGGCUGACCCCCGCCGAGGAGAUCUGCUGAUGGAGUUGGAUUUGUCAACUGAGGGAACCUCACACCCCUGCCGUUUGUUGAGGUGCGUAAGCUUCCCCGAUUUGUAGAUCCUUAACAAUGAUUUUGGCCCUGGGCUUGAGUGCAGA